GAGGAAUAUAUUCUACGAACUACAUAACUUAAUUAAACCGCAUAUAUUUAAGCAAGAUACUAACUACAGGAGAUCUAUCUGUACCCAAGAGCGGCUAGCAGUAUGUUUGAAGUAUUUGGCGACUGGUUCAAAAUUUUCACAAAUAGCUGAAAAUUUUAGGAUUGGAAAAUCGACUGUUCCAAGAAUUAUAGAAGAUGUCUGCGAUGCCUUGUGGACAGUAUUACAACCUUUGGUUAUGCCAGAACUUAAUGAAAAUGAUUGGAAAAAAUUUUCAAAGCAAUUUGAAGAAAUCUGGCAAUUCAAAAACUGCGUCGGGGCCAUUGAUGGCAAGCAUGUGUACAUGUUUGCACCCCCAAAAUCUGGGCCUCAUAUUACUGUUAUAAACACAGGUUUUCAACUGUAAUGAUGUGCGUAGCCGACGCUACCCGAAGAAUAAUUAUGGUAGAUAUAGGUUCAAUGGGAAGGUUCAGCGAUGGUGGUAUUUUUGCUGAUAGUAUAUUCGGAAUUCGUUUGAGAGAAAACAGACUAAAUCUACCACAGCCACAACCCUUGUACCAAAAUGGAGAACCUGUACCGUUUGUUUUUAUUGGAGACGAAGCUUUCCCUUUGAUGACUAACUUAAUGAGACCAUAUCCACGCGAUAAUUUAAAUAACGAAAAACGAACAUACAAUUAUAGACUUUCAAGAGCUCGUCGUAUUGUGGAAGCUACAUUUGGUGUAUUAUCACGGAAAUGGUACGUAUACCGUAAAGAAUUUGAAUGUAAAAUAGAAACAGUGGAAAAAGUGAUAAAAGCAACGUGUGUUCUACACAACUUUUUAAUUGACAAGAUGCCUGGCUAUCUAGAUAAUAAUGAAACGGGUUUGGCCACGACUAUGCUUAACGACACAAACGUGGAAAAUCUAUUAUCGAAUGACAAUAUGGAUGCCUAUCAAGUUCGAGAAAAAUUCUGUAGUUAUUUCAACAACGAGGGCGCCGUUCCAUGGCAAGACACUCGUAUUACAACAUUACUUGAACGAAAUACUUAAUAUAAUAAAUUGCACUUACCGUCA